AGGCGCUGCUGAGCUGCCAUGGCUCUGCCCAGUUGCUGUGUAAACUUCCCAGGGGCUUUAUUUACACAGGCAAGGUUAAAAGCACCUACCUGAGCCUCAGCAAUGGGGGACACCCCUUCCCCCCACUAAGCUCAUGUCCCAGAUUGAGCUCAGACUGCUGUGCUGGCUGUGAGGAUUUCAAGCCAGUGGAUCUUAACUUGCUGGUCUUCCUGGAGGUGGGACCCCCUGAGCCAGAUCACUUGGCUCCCUGGCUUCAGCUCUCUUUUCUUCAGGGGAAUGAGCGGUUCUGUCUCGCUGGAUUUGCAGGUGCCAUGGGGGUAUGAGAAAAAAAAAAAAAGAAAACUGCUGUGGCUAACACAGCCACCCAGUUUUGUGCUGGAAACCCGGGGAGCUGGUGUUGUAGGAACCAGAAGGAGUCUCCUGGUCUACAGGUUGUAAAGACCGUGGGAAAAGAGCAGUAUAUGAGCACGAGUGCUGGAGUGUCCAGAAAAGUCCCUAAUGGCUUCCCUUGACUAGGAGAGGGAGUUCUCCAGCCCCUUGGCUUCCCAGAAUCCAGUACCAUGAAACAAGUCCAAGUGAAAAAUAAAUCAAGACUGAAUCUCAGCUAACCUCCAUGGCCAAUUACCAAUUUACAGGCAAUACAGGAAAGUUGAUUCAACCUGGUGUCCAGUGAAGAAAUCCCAACUGCAAAGGAGAGGUGGAUCUCAGGGCUGUGCGUGAUCUGCAAAAGGAAGCGCAUGAACCAUCAGGUAGCGCUGCUGCGCUGCUUCUGCUCCCAGGAGGUGGAUGUCCAGGAUGAGCUUUAAGGUGGAGAGUUGGAUGUCAUUGCUCAUCCUACAGGUUCCAAGUAAAAAGCUUUCUGCCCAGCCCAUCUCGUUCUCCUUAAAUCCUCAAGGCCAAUGAGGACCGUCUCCUCACCUCCUUGGACUAGGCUUUUUAACACUGGAAAGUGGAUGUGAUUUCUAGUUUCAGCAUGUUCUGGUUUAUUGCCCUGCCAGUAAAAUAAAGUCAAAAUAUACAUCGAAUAAAUAACAACUAAAAUAACCAUAGCGAGCAAAGAUUUACAUUGUAUUUUUUAGAGUCAAGAUGCCCCUCUGUGACUGGGCUGGAGUCCAGUGGUGCAAUCAUAGCUCACUGCAGUCUUGAAUUCAUGAGCUCAAGGGAUCUUCCCACCUCAGCCUCCCCAAUACCUGGAAAUAUAAGUGCUCACCACCACGCCCAGGUAAGGGUACUUAUUUUUAUUUUAUUUUUUAGAGAUGAAGGUCUCAUAUGUUGUCAAAGCUGGUCUCCAACUCCUGAUCUUAAGCGAUCCUUUUGCCUUAGUAUCCUGAAUUGCUGGGAUUACAGGCAUGAGCUGUCAUCCUGGCUCGUACUGUACUGACACCAUCAAGAUUUCCUCCUCCAAGUGUGGACACAGCAGCAGACACCCCUUGUCUCUUGGGUCAGGACACUGGAUAGAGUGGAAUAACAAGGCAACAGAGUCACUGCAGAAAGUGCUCACAUGGAGGAGGUCCAGCAGGGAGGGCCAGCUGUCCCAGGGCUCCCAUAUUUAGGGAUAACUCCUCUUUCUGGGCAGGACUGUUCUUUGAUUACCUUUGUAUUCAUAAUAGUUCUGAAAUCAUAGGAUGAUGAGACUCAAGACUGGCUAAGAUUUUUUUUUU